UUUCAUAGAUCCGUCGGGAAACUGUCGGGAGUAAUGAAAAUUUUUAAAAAUUUCCGUAUGGACUCCGUCGGAAAACACCAAAUUAUACCCGGGAAAUAAUUUUCCCAAAUUUUUUGGAUAUUGCGGGAAUGAUUAAUUUAGAAUUUUGGGUUUAGAUAAACCACAAACUUUUUCACCUUCUCUUCUCACCUCUUCACCGGCUCACUUCUUGUUCCUCACCCCCAAAUUUUUUCUUCACCGAUUCACAAUUAUAAAUCCUAGAUUUUGUUGCUCCCUCUUUCUCUCUUCUAAAUCCCAGAUUUUGUUCCUCAAAUCAACCCCAACCACUCAACUAUGGAUUACGAAGCAUAUCGUUCUCGUCGAAACCGCUCCACCCAAAACCGACAAGAACCCAAUGGUUCUGGGUCACCGAUUCAAACCCUCUCCGCAAGAGUCUCGGGAUCGCCUACAGCUGCCUCACCUCCCAUCCUAAUGACCAUUGAGGAUUUCGUUUCUCAACCAGGACGAGAACUUAUCCCAAAACCUCAUCCCAACUACAUUGGAGACAUGGUUUGAGGCAUCUGGAAAUGGCAUUAGCAAAUCUAUAAAUCGGAUGAUGUAUGGACUCCUCAAAGAACCUUAUGAAACAUACUCCUCAAUGCCAAGUGAUGACCGUACUUGUUUAUCACUUGGCAUCUUCAUCACCAAUAUAUGAUCGUACUUCUUUAUCAUCUUCAUCACCAAUAUAUGAUCGUGAUCCUGAAUUUGUGCGUGCCCUCCAAGAGAAAGAUGACCGAAUAGAAGCUCUUGAGAAGAUGAUGGAAAAAGAGAAUGAGAGGAACAAGCUGAGAGAUGAGGAGCUUGCGUCGUUCAUGGCAGAGAUGCGAUCUAAGUUUCCCGUGAAUUCAAGUUCUUAGAUAUAUAAGAUCACAAUAUUUAAGUUUUGUGGAACUUUUUUUUUUUUGAUUUGUGUAUAUUACAUUUUCUUUUUAUGGAUGAUUUGUUUAUUUUGUA